rnacentral:rRNA from 1 species
UUUUAGAGUUUGAUCCUGGCUCAGAACGAACGCUGGUGGCGUGCCUUAUACAUGCAAGUCGAGCGGGAUCUAGGUGCUUGCACCUGGUGAGAGCGGCGGACGGGUGAGUAACACGUGAGCAACCUACCCCCCGGUUGGGGAUAGCCUCCUCUAACGAGGGAUUAAUACCGAAUAUCGACCCUUGUCACCUGACGGGGGAUCAAAAGCCUUCGGGCGUCGGGGGAUGGGCUCGCGGAAGAUUAGCUAGUAGGCGGGGUAGCGGCCCACCUAGGCAACGAUCUUUAGGCGGCCUGAGAGGGUGAUCGGCCACAUCGGGACUGAGAUACGGCCCGGACUCCUACGGGAGGCAGCAGUAGGGAAUAUUGCGCAAUGGGGGAAACCCUGACGCAGCAACGCCACGUGUGGGAAGACGCAUUUCGGUGUGUAAACCACUGUCAGCAGGGAACAAUGGGAUCUAGCGAUCGCUGGAGGGACCUGCAGAGAAGCACCG